AGCUUUGCGCAGUGGCGAUAUCGUAACCAAUGAGGUUCAACCGAGGUAUGAUUAUUGCUAGUUGAAAACUAAUCUGGUCAAAAUCUACGUGCUAUUCGAUAUUUAUGGUGAAGUUGAUCAUUGUGCUUAAAGAAAACG